AGGACGUAGCUUCCAUAGGCAAUGUUUUAGCUAAGAUUAUGAGGUAAAGGGAGUCAGACAAGGCGACAUUAGGACCGUGAAGUAGUCUGAAACACUAAGUGCGGGAGUUUGCAAGAGAAAUGAACUGCCGACACGAGUGAAAGCAUGAUUGCUUGCGUGCUAAGCCCAAGGGAUGAGCUCGGAGAAACGGUGGUGGGAUUUCAAAGCAUGGGGGA
rnacentral:lncRNA from 1 species